rnacentral:rRNA from 1 species
UACGUAGGGUGCAAGCGUUAAUCGGAAUUACUGGGCGUAAAGCGUGCGCAGGCGGUUAUGUAAGACAGGGGUGAAAUCCCCGGGCUUAACCUGGGAACUGCAUUUGUGACUGCAUAGCUAGAGUACGGUAGAGGGGGAUGGAAUUCCGCGUGUAGCAGUGAAAUGCGUAGAUAUGCGGAGGAACACCGAUGGCGAAGGCAAUCCCCUGGACCGGUACUGACGCUCAUGCACGAAAGCGUGGGGAGCAAACAGG